rnacentral:lncRNA from 1 species
AUUCUCUGCCUGCCUGCAGUGCUGGUCCCUCCUUUCCUGUUGUCUUUGAGCUGUGUCCCCGAUGCAGGCAGCAUUUAUGGAUUCUGGGCCAGUUCUGCAUCAUCACCCAUUCUACCUUCUCUGUCGUAUUCUCACCGUGCUAAGAGCACUCGAUGAGAGGGGUGGGAGCUCCGUAGUAAAUGCGCAAGGGGUUGCGUUGUAUCACACACAGCAGGCCCAGGGUGGCCAUCAGGUCUUGGAAGUCCCUCGUCCUCGAGAGCUGCAAUUUGAUACUGAUUGGAUGGUGCAGGAAUACCCGGAUGUCUGCACACAAGAAAAGCCUGGCUUCAGUCGUCACCGUGAGGGAUCACGGCCUUUCACGGGGUUUCAGACCUAAAUCAUCUCACAAACCCAGAAAUCCUUAAUUAAUGAAAAGCACGGAUAAUUUUCAUCUCAGAUUUCCCCA